rnacentral:rRNA from 1 species
UACGUAGGGUGCGAGCGUUGUCCGGAAUUAUUGGGCGUAAAGAGCUCGUAGGCGGCUUGUCGCGUCGGAUGUGAAAGCCCGGGGCUUAACUCCGGGUCUGCAUUCGAUACGGGCAGGCUAGAGUUCGGUAGGGGAGAUCGGAAUUCCUGGUGUAGCGGUGAAAUGCGCAGAUAUCAGGAGGAACACCGAUGGCGAAGGCAGCACUCUGGGACGGUACUGACGCUGAGACGCGAAAGCGUGGGGAGCAAACAGG